AUUCUUUACUCUUGAUCAAUUUAUCAAAUGAUAGUGAUUAUACUUAGUUCUUUUUUGGGUAAUACUAUUAUUCAUCGAUCUAUUUUUUUUUGACGAACUACUCGGCGAUAUCUAUCUACAAUGAUAUGUAGUUGUAAGUUUAAUAAUGGUCUAUUUCUCUUUUAUCUCUGAGAUUUUUAUUCUCUGUUUUUCAAAAAUAUAAUAAGAAUUUUAUCGGCAAAAGAUAGCAUUCUAAAAAAACAAACAGCCAAUACAUGUGAUCAACUACUAGGUACUAAAAAUACAAUUAGGGGUAUACAUUCAUCUCUUUAUGGUUCAUUUCUUAACUCUUCCUCAGGGGAUCCUCUUGAGAAGAUAUCUUGUACAAUCCCCUGAAGAUGAUAACAACUUGCAUUAUGCUGCCAAGCCCCUAAAGCAAAUUCCAGUAGCAGACUCGUAUCUUUAGCAUGUGCAAGUGCCCACUCCAACUCUUUACCCUAGUUUAAUGCUUAGUCAGACAAUCUUUGCUGAUGUAAAAAAUUACACCAUAUUGUUCUAGACCACUUACACAUGAACUGCAAUUACUUUUUGUGGUGUAGUAAUAGUUUAUUGGACGACAAUCUAGGGGAAAUUUGGUCUAAGGGCACUUGAGUUUGAGGUUAAUUAGUAUGUAAGCAGAUAUGAUCAUUAUUAUUUUAAUAUAAAUGGAAUUUUGAUCUUUUUGUGUGUUUAUUCAAAACUUAAUUAUUUUUAGGAGAGAUUUGAGAUUAAUUUAGACGAGCAUUACGUGAAAGAUAGCUGUGAGGAUAUUCUGAAAAAUAGAAGUCGACAAUGGCGCUACAAGUUAAAACGAUUAUUGAAAGUGCACGCUCCGAGGAAGAAGCUCGUAAAAUUGAAGUGUCAGAGUUGACCCCUGAAAAUUGGAAUAGGCUUUGUGACGCGUAGAUCAAUCCAGAGCAGAAGAUAAUUUAUAUUUUUCUUAUUCUCGUUGUUAUUCUUUUAAUAUAAAUAAAUAAAUUUGGUUUCCAAAUAUGAAGUUACAGUUCAAGUUAAAACAAGACAAGCAGACCUGGACAUUCCAGCUUCUUAUUAUCCUACUCAUCUAUUUUCUUCUACUAGUAUAAACUAUUUAUAACAUCUAAACAUUUGUAUAUGGUGACUAAUCUGUGGCUUCAGGUAAUCUUGAAGUAAACCUUCUAGGCAAUGGCUUGUGAACAUCUUCAAUAAACGAUGCGACAUAAAUAAGGUGAAUCGAAGUAAGCUUAAAUCUAAUCAUUUCAUGGGGUCAAAGGCUUUUGUAGCUGCUCGUGCUGUAAUGGGUGAAACAAACCCUGAAAGAGUGGAGCCUGACAGAAUCGAGUUUUAUAAGCAUACUUAUUAGUUAUUACUCUAAGGAAAAAGAAUGGUCAUCUCAAGAGACUGAGACUAACUAUAACAACAUGAAAGAUUUGAAAGAUCUAUAUAGUUCAGGAGAGUCUUCUAUGACUAUUGAUGAAAUCGUGGAUACUGUACUUGGUACAAAAUCGGGAUACAUAAAAGGUCUCGGUUAUGGUCCAAAAUCUAAUACUACAAUAGCUACACAAAGGAGAACUGCAGAGCUGGAAGACUCUCAAAAAGGCAAAAGAGGAAGCUGAUACUAUCAUUUAUGAUUUAAAGAAACGACUAAAUACAGCUGAAACUAUUGUUGAGUAUCAGCAGUCUCAAAUGCAAGAUCAACAAUCUCAGUACAAGCAUUAAAUUCUCAAUUGGACAUUGUAAUGGCAUGCCAAGAGGAAAUGUUUAAGAAAAUGCAAUUUCUUGGUCGCUCAUCGCCAUCAAGUGGACAUUGAGCUCAUCAGAAUGCCUACUUAGGUAUAACAGGGGAAAUGUCACCAUAGUAUUGGUACUUUGGAAGAAAUUGCUUCUUAUUUGUCAUAAUUUGGGAGUUAUAUUUAGUAGAUUUCAGUUAGUUUAUCUUGUUAUUGGACACAUUCUAUUUCCCCUUUAGGAACUUCUAAUGUUCAGUUCUUUUAAAUUAUAUGAUCAUGGAUGAAUACUACCUUGGUAUGAUUUUAGUUCUUUUCAAUUGUAUGAUCAUGGAUGAAUUUUAUUGUUA